CUGCUGCCUUCCGUAGGAGUCUGGUCCGUGUCUCAGUACCAGUGUGGGGGACCUUCCUCUCAGAACCCCUACGCAUCGUCGUCUUGGUGGUCCGUUACACCGCCAACUAACUAAUGCGACGCAUGCCCGUCCGCCACCGGAAUUAACCUUUGGCACCAACAGGAUGUCCCGUCGAUGCAUUAUGCCGUAUUAGACGGAAUUUCUCCCGAUUAUCCGGCUGUGGCAGGCAGGUUGCAUACGUGUUACUCACCCGUGCGCCGG
rnacentral:rRNA from 1 species